rnacentral:rRNA from 1 species
UACAGAGGUCCCAAGCGUUGUUCGGAUUCACUGGGCGUAAAGGGUGCGUAGGUGGCGAGGUAAGUCGGAUGUGAAAGCUCGGAGCUCAACUCCGAAAUGGCAUUGGAAACUACCUUGCUUGAGGGUUGGAGGGGGGACUGGAAUUCUCGGUGUAGCAGUGAAAUGCGUAGAUAUCAAGAGGAACACCAGUGGCGAAGGCGAGUCCCUGGACAACACCUGACACUGAGGCACGAAAGCUAGGGGAGCAAACAGG